GCCAGGCACAGUGGUGGCACCCACCUGUCAUCCCAGCUACUCAGAAGGCAGGAGGAUCACUUGGGCCCAGGAGUUCUGGGCUUUAGUGCACUAUGCCGAUCAGGUGUCUGCGCUAAGUUUGGCAUUAAUAUGGUGGCCUCUCUGGAGAGGGGGACCACCGGGUUGCCUAAGGGAGGGUGAGCAGGCCCAGGUAGGAAAUGGAGCAAGUCAGAGCUCCUGUGCUGGACAAUAGUGGGAUCAGCCACUGUACUCAGACCUGGGGAACAACAUAGUGAGACCUC
rnacentral:SRP_RNA from 10 species